rfam:Vitis vinifera complete mitochondrial genome, cultivar Pinot noir clone ENTAV115
AGGAGCUGGAUGAGAAGAAACUCUCAUGUCCGGUUCUGGAGUAGAGAUGGAAUUUUAAAAAGACCCAUCCACUAUAAC